AUGUGGACUGAUGAUCUGAAUAUUACUUUUCAUAGUGCUACUUUGCACUAUAUAUUAGCUAAUGUAGUUCAUCCUGCUUCUGGGGUCCAAUUUUGUUUGAUUUGUAUAUAUGGUGACCCGUACCAUAGACAAACUAGUGCCAUUUGGAGCCAUAUUUCUGCUUUUGUGUAUGAUAAUAUGGGUAUACCCAUGAUGUGUAUGGGUGAUCUUAAUGACAUCUUGUAUGAUAUGAAUGGUUGUAAUGGUAAUGUGAAUUACUUUUGUAUGUUUGCUUUUCGCUCCCUUGUUAAAAAUUGUGUUUUUUUCGACAUAUAUUUUAGUGGUCCAGCGUACACUUGGCGAGGUAAACAACACACUUCUAAACCGAUUUACCGUCGUCUUGAUCGUUCUUUGGUAAAUGCCGAGUGGUGCAUGCAUUACCCUAAUACUGAAGUCCUCAAUUUGCCUAUUAUUCUCAGUGAUCAUGCUCCCAUUUUAGUGUCUAGAGAAGGAUAUUUUGUCAAGCUUAAGUAA
rnacentral:rRNA from 1 species